rnacentral:tRNA from 1 species
GCUUCAGUGGUGUAAUGGUUAGCACCGGCGCCUUCCAAGCGCCAGAUCCUGGUUCGAUUCCUGGCUGAUGCA